ACAUCUCCGCUGCUGUGCAACUGGCCCAGCCUAGCUCACUCAUUGUAAAGCCCGGAGGGUCCUUCAAACUGACCUGUGUCGUCUCUGGGCCUGAGGUCGGCGGGUGGUUCUGGGGAUGGAAUCGUCUAUCUCCAGGCAAAAAGCUGGAAUGGUUGGGGGGCAUCAAAAGCAUCGCACAAGGAGGAGAACCUUACUACAACACAGCAUUCAGCGGUCGAAUUACUAUUGCCAGGAGCAACUGGAACAAUGAGUUCUACUUCCAGUUGCGGGCCUUAGUCACUGAUGAUUCUGCCGUUUAUUACUGCACAAGAGAGCGAAAAGGAGACACA